AUGAACCGACCAAAAAGGAACUCAGCAGGCAGGAGGUCCCCCGAGCUCCAACACUUGUUGGAGUUCCGUCAACAAUGUUGGAUGUCGUCCCCCACCGACAGGAAGGGGGUCACCCUCCCAUACUCGCCCGAGGGGGAGUGGAUCCUUCGGAAUUAUGCCCGGCUGUGGGGAAGCAUCUCCCAGGAGGAGCCACAGAGGUCCCCCCCACCUACCCAGCUGCCGGCGAUCCCGGAGGGUCGUGUCCUGGCCGUGGCAACCCUGGGGGAUCAGUUAGGUCCCUCCCAAGAUCCUGAGGCACCUCCCACUACCUUAAGUCUCCCCAACAAGCGAGGGAGACGGCUUUCAUGGGAGUCAGCUUCAGAGUCUUCGGCGUCCGAGGCUGCCCUGCCCGAGACCAAACUCCCCCAACCCGCCUCUGACCCAGCUGUAGCCUCUGCACCGCGCCCGAGGAGGAAGAGGAGGAAGAAGGGGCCUGCCGGUCCUGUGACCCUGUCUCCUCCCGUGCCAGCAGCGGUGAGCGCUGGCGUGCCCGUGCCAGCAGCGGAGAGAGCUGGCGUGCCCGAGCCAGCAGCGGUGAGCGUGCCCGAGCCAGCAGCGGUGAGCGUGCCCGUGCCAGCAGCGGUGAGCGCUGGCGUGCCCGUGCCAGCAGCGGAGAGAGCUGGCGUGCCCGUGCCAGCAGCGGUGAGCGCUGGCGUGCCCGUGCCAGCAGCGGUGAGCGCUGGCGUGCCCGUGCCAGCAGCGGUGAGCGCUGGCGUGCCCGUGCCAGCAGCGGAGAGAGCUGGCGUGCCCGACCCAGCAGCGGUGAGCGUGCCCGACCCAGCAGCGGUGAGUGUGCCCGACCCAGCAGCGGAGAGCGCUGGCGUGCCCGAGCCAGCAGCAGUGAGCGUGCCCGAGCCAGCAGCAGUGAGCGUGUCCGAGUCAGCAGCGGUGAGCGCUGGCGUGCCCGUGCCAGCAGCGGUGAGCGCUGGCGUGCCCGUGCCAGCAGCGGAGAGAGCUGGCGUGCCCGUGCCAGCAGCGGUGAGCGCUGGCGUGCCCGUGCCAGCAGCGGUGAGCGUGCCCGACCCAGCAGCGGUGAGUGUGCCCGACCCAGCAGCGGAGAGCGCUGGCGUGCCCGAGCCAGCAGCAGUGAGCGUGCCCGAGCCAGCAGCAGUGAGCGUGUCCGAGUCAGCAGCGGUGAGCGCUAGCGCGCCCGAGCCGGGAAAGAAAGCUGUAUGCAAGUCGGCAGUCGUGAGAGCGGAGGAGAGAGCCGCGGCCGACUCUGCAGCAAAGACUCUUGUACAGUCGGUUUCAUCUCAUAAGGAGAUGCCAAUUGUCCUAGCUGCUAAAGCAUUUUCUGAUUAUUUGUCCCGUCUUGUCCAAAUUUUAGAAGUCCCCGUCAGUCCUGUCUUGUCCCCUGACCCUGUCCCCAGAAGUCCCAAGUGUCCAGCCGUUGUCUCCCCGUGUCCUGUUGAUGUGGCCCCGUGUCCUGUUGAUGUGGCCCCGUGUCUCGUUAAUGUCCCCCCGUGUCCUGUGGUCCCCCCGUGUCCAGUAGAUGUUGUCCCCCCGUGUCCAGUAGAUGUUGUCCCCCCGUGUCCAGUAGAUGUUGUCCCCCCGUGUCCAGUAGAUGUUGUUCCCCCGUGUCCAGCUGUCGUCUCCCCGCGUCCUGUAAGUCUUGCCCCGCGUCCCGUAAGUGUUGCCCCGCGUCCCUUGUCUGCUCCUGUCAUGUCCCCUGUCAGUUGUCCUGAGACAACUGUCAGUUGUCCUGUCUGCACCUGA
rnacentral:lncRNA from 1 species